rnacentral:misc_RNA from 1 species
CUGUUUGUCUAUUUUUAAUUAUGGGCAAUGUGCCCAGUUGUUUUUUAAGUUGUGGAAACCUUGCUCAAAAAUCUUAAAUGGUUGUGCACUAGCAGUUGAAUUGAAUUUGAAGUGCUAAAUCUUCCUUUGGUUUACAUACUCCAGAUUAUGGAUUUAUAGCAUAAAUGUUAAUCAUAAAAAAAGGGGAAUAAAGAAAAAGAUGUUUCAAGGAAAUUAGUGUGUAAGCUACUAAGCUUGGAACAUUCAGUUGGGAUUACUAUGUGAACUUAGUGAAAGUAGAGCUUACUUUCUUAAUUAUUCACAAGGAAAACGAAAGUAAAUAUAGAAACAAAAUGCUAGUUUUCUGG